CGUCGCACGGCCUCGGCGAUCCCGCGCGGUCCUCGGCCGGUUAUGCCGUAGGUUUUCGCGCCGCUCGUCCGAUACGCAUUUGAACAACAACAGUAACGCCGAGUCUCGCUCGUGUCGUUGAAGUUUCGACUUGGAUCCCUUAGCUACAGCGGACGUCGGUUGUUUUGUCGGUUUGUUUCAUGUAGAAGUUAUUAGAUGGUCACAUCUUUCGUCCUGAAUUUUCAAGUCUCGUUACAAUCCGUGUCGGCCCGAAAACUUUUCUCGUUCAUGUCCUACUUUUUCAAUAUCUUCCCACAGAACUUCUUACGGCUUUGAUACUUCUCUGAAUAGAAUGUCGAUUGAGUGUGAUAAAUUGUCUUCUAUUGAUUACUUUAAACCCUACAGUCUUUCGAUCCUAAAACGCUACUCACCGGUGAUCCGUUAAUACGGGUACACUCGUCUCGAGAAUUAUCUCGAAAAGUAUUGACUUUAUUCGGAUUCGGAUUUCUAGAACAUUUAAGUGACAAAUAGCUCUACGAUUUUAUAUUUAUGUUAUUUUUGGGGGUAAAACCACUUAUUACACUUUGUUGAAAAGUCCGAUGGACUAUUAGUUAAAAUAAAUGUUAGUGUUGUAAGUUUUUCAUUUCCGUUAAUCCGUUGACGAGAUAUUCCAC